rnacentral:rRNA from 1 species
UAAAACGACCUUACUUCCUUGAGCCUGAUCUCGUCCAUUCUCAGAAAGUAAGCAUGGGUGGGCCUGGGCAGCACUGUGAUGGGAGACCCCCGAGGAAAAUAAGGUUGCAAUUUGU